CCGGUUGCGCGGGGCGCGGUAGCUCUCCCCGGUGAAGUCGGGCUCGGGCAGCGCCGCGCGGUCCAGCUUGCCGUUGGGGGCCAGCGGCAGCCGGUCCA
rnacentral:tRNA from 2 species